rnacentral:rRNA from 1 species
CAGAGGUCCUGCGCCGAAAAUGAACCGGGGCUAAACACGACACCGAAGCUCAGGAAUCCGAAAGGAUUGGUAGAGGAGCAUUGCUGAAGCGACGAAGCAGUACCGAAAGGAGCUGUGGAGUUUCAGGAAGAGAGAAUGCCGGAAUGAGUAGCGAGAGAAAGGUGAGAAUCCUUUCGGCCGAAUAUCCAAGGUUUCCAGGGUAAAGCUGAUCUGCCCUGGGUAAGUCGGGGCCUAAGGCGAGGCAGAAAUGCGUAGUCGAUGGACAGCAGGUUGAGAUUCCUGCACCCGUAAUGAACAGAACUGUAGUGACACGGAAGGUAAGACAGAGCCGGGAAUGAGAAAACCGGUGCAAGCACAAUAGAUGUGUGGGAGGAAAAUCCCCCACAUAAGUCAAAGGUGUGACGCGGACCGAAAAAGAGUAGGGAAGCUGUUAAGCAAGCCGUCAAGAAAAGCUGCUAUUGUUUCAUUAUGGCCCGUACCGUAAACCGACACAGGUGGAUGGGGAGAGAAUCCUAAGGCCGGCGGAAGAAGUAUUGUUAAGGAACUCGGCAAAAUGACCCCGUAACUUCGGGAGAAGGGGUGCCUGCGAGAGCAGGCCGCAGAGAAGAGGCCCAAGCAACUGUUUAGCAAAAACACAGGUCUAUGCAAAACCGAAAGGUGAGGUAUAUGGGCUGACGCCUGCCCGGUGCUGGAAGGUUAAGGGGAGUGGUCAGGAAACGGAGCCACGAACUUAAGCCCCAGUAAACGGCGGCCGUAACGAUAACGGUCCUAAGGUAGCGAAAUUCCUUGUCGGGUAAGUUCCGACCCGCACGAAAGGCGUAAUGAUUUGGGCGCUGUCUCGACAAUACAUCCGGUGAAAUUGAAGUGCCAGUGAAGAUGCUGGCUACCUGCGCCAGGACGGAAAGACCCCAUGGAGCUUUACUCCAGCUUGAUACUGGGACCCGGUAUUGCAUGUACAGGAUAGGUGGGAGGCUAGGAAAUGUGGACGCCAGUCUGCAUGGAGCCGCUGUUGGGAUACCACCCUUGUGGUGCUGGGUUUCUAACCAGAGGCCGUGAACCGGUCUGGGGACAAUGUCAGGUGGGGAGUUUGACUGGGGCGGUCGCCUCCGAAAGGGUAUCGGAGGCGCCCAAAGGUUCCCUCAGAAUGGUUGGAAACCAUUCGAAGAGUGCAAAGGCAGAAGGGAGCUUGACUGCGACACCGACGGGUGGAGCAGGUACGAAAGUAGGGCUUAGUGAUCCGGUGGAAUUUAAGUGGGAAUGCCAUCGCUCAACGGAUAAAAGCUACCCUGGGAUAACAGGCUGAUCACUCCCAAGAGUUCACAUCGACGGAGUGGUUUGGCGCCUCGAUGUCGGCUCAUCGCAUCCUGGGGCUGAAGUCGGUCCCAAGGGUUGGGCUGUUCGCCCAUUAAAGCGGUACGCGAGCUGGGUUCAGAACGUCGUGAGACAGUUCGGUCCCUAUCCGGCGUGGGCGUAGGAUAUCUGAGAGGAGCUGUCCUUAGUACGAGAGGACCGGGAUGGACUGACCUCUGGUGUACCGGUUGGCGAUCAACGCCACGGCCGGGUAGCCAUGUCGGGACGGGAUAAACGCUGAAGGCAUCUAAGCGUGAAGCCCCCCCUCAAGAUGAGAUAUCCCAUCGUAAGAGUAAGACCCCUUGAAGACGACGAGGUUGAUAGGGCAGGGGUGGAAGUGCUGUAAGGCAUGGAGCUGACUGCUACUAAUCGGUCGAGGGCUUGACC